GCCGGGAUGGCGGAACUGGUAGACGCGCCGGAUUCAAAAUCCGGUUCCUAACGGAGUGGGGGUUCGAUUCCCCCUCCCGGCACCA
rnacentral:tRNA from 1 species